rnacentral:rRNA from 1 species
GGUUUAGAACGUCGUGAGACAGUUCGGUCCCUAUCUGCCGUGGGCGCUGGAGAACUGAGGGGGGCUGCUCCUAGUACGAGAGGACCGGAGUGGACGCAUCACUGGUGUUCGGGUUGUCAUGCCAAUGGCACUGCCCGGUAGCUAAAUGCGGAAGAGAUAAGUGCUGAAAGCAUCUAAGCACGAAACUUGCCCCGAGAUGAGUUCUCCCUGAGACUUARAGUCUCCUGAAGGAACGUUGAAGACGACGACGUUGAUAGGCCGGGUGUGUAAGCGCAGCGAUGCGUUGAGCUAACCGGUACUAAUGAACCGUGAGGCUUAACCUU